rnacentral:rRNA from 1 species
GACAGAGGGGGCGAGCGUUGUCCGGAGUCACUGGGCGUAAAGCGCGCGCAGGCGGCGACCUUAGUGUCGUGUGAAAGCCCCCGGCUCAACCGGGGGAGGCCAUGGCAAACUGGGUCGCUCGAGCUGCGGUGAGGCCCCUCGAAUUGCCGGUGUAGCGGUGAAAUGCGUAGAGAUCGGCAGGAAGACCAAGGGGGAAGCCAGGGGGCUGGCCGCAGGCUGACGCUGAGGCGCGACAGCGUGGGGAGCAAACCGG